UACAGAGGCGGCGAGCGUUGUUCGGAUUUACUGGGCGUAAAGGGUGCGUAGGCGGUUCCGUGUGUCGGAUGUGAAAUGUCACCACUCAACGGUGGAAUUGCAUUCGAAACUGCGGGGCUAGAGUACAGGAGAGGAGAGCGGAAUUCCAGGUGUAGCGGUGAAAUGCGUAGAUAUCUGGAGGAACACCGGUGGCGAAGGCGGCUCUCUGGACUGAUACUGACGCUGAGGCACGAAAGCUGGGGGAGCAAACAGG
rnacentral:rRNA from 1 species